UACAGAGGAGCCAAGCGUUGUCCGGAUUGACUGGGCGUAAAGCGCACGCAGGCGGUCGGGCGCGUGGGGUGUGAAAUCUGGCCGCUUAACGGCCAGGCGCCAUCCCCAUACGGCUCGACUGGAGUGAUGCAGAGGUCGAUGGAAUUGCCGGUGUAGUGGUGAAAUGCGUAGAGAUCGGGAGGAACACCCGUGGCGAAGGCGGCCACCUGGGCCGACCCUGACGCUGAGGCGCGAAGGCGUGGGAGCGAACGGG
rnacentral:rRNA from 1 species